UAACGACUCUCGGCAACGGAUAUCUCGGCUCUCGCAUCGAUGAAGAACGUAGCGAAAUGCGAUACUUGGUGUGAAUUGCAGAAUCCCGUGAACCAUCGAGUCUUUGAACGCAAGUUGCGCCCGAGGCCUCCUGGUCGAGGGCACGUCUGCCUGGGUGUCACGC
rnacentral:rRNA from 3 species